CAGUAGCCGCGGGAAAACGAAGGGGGCUAGCGUUGUUCGGAUUUACUGGGCGUAAAGCGCACGUAGGCGGACUUUUAAGUCAGGGGUGAAAUCCCGGGGCUCAACCCCGGAACUGCCUUUGAUACUGGAAGUCUUGAGUAUGGUAGAGGUGAGUGGAAUUCCGAGUGUAGAGGUGAAAUUCGUAGAUAUUCGGAGGAACACCAGUGGCGAAGGCGGCUCACUGGACCAUUACUGACGCUGAGGUGCGAAAGCGUGAGGAGCAAACAGGAUUAGAUACCCCAGUAGUCCCUGUCUCUUAUAA
rnacentral:rRNA from 1 species